CGUCUAUGCUAACAACACAGCUUGCGGUCACUGCUCCUCGUUCCCGGCAUAUUCUGAAGCAUUAAGAAAAAAGAAGAUGGCAACCUCCUCCACGCCAAACUGCACAACCUUGACUGUAUGGAUAAUCGGAGACAGCUAUGUCCGGCGUGGAGCCCAGAGAGCUACAGAGACCAU